GGGGGGGGCGGGGGGGGGGGCGGGGAGAGGCAAGUCGAGCGAACAGACGGGGGGCUUGCUCCUCUGACGUUAGCGGCGGACGGGUGAGUAACACGUGGGUAACCUACCUGUAAGACUGGGAUAACUUCGGGAAACCGGAGCUACUACCGGAUAAUAUCUUGACCCGCAUGGUUCCAUAGUGACAGACGGUUUUGCUGUCACUUAUAGAUGGCUCCGCGCCGCCUUAGCUAGUUGGUCAGGUAACGGCUUACCAAGGCAACGAUGCGUAGCCGACCUGAGAGGGUGAUCGGCCACACUGGAACUGAGACACGGUCCAGACUCCUACGGGAGGCAGCAGUAGGGAAUCUUCCGCAAUGGGCGAAAGCCUGACGGAGCAACGCCGCGUGAGUGAUGAAGGUCUUCGGAUCGUAAAACUCUGUUAUUAGGGAAGAACAAAUGUGUAAGUAACUAUGCACGUCUUGACGGUACCUAAUCAGAAAGCCACGGCUAACUACGUG
rnacentral:rRNA from 1 species